rnacentral:SRP_RNA from 1 species
AGUUUGUCAGGAGUGGAAGGAGCAGGCCAAGCGUUUCCUGUCGUGGCGGUGG